GAUGAACGCUGGCGGCGUGCCUAAUACAUGCAAGUAGAACGCUGAAGGAGGAGCUUGCUCUUCUGGAUGAGUUGCGAACGGGUGAGUAAAGCGUAGGGAACCUGCCUGGUAGCGGGGGAUAACUAUUGGAAACGAUAGCUAAUACCGCAUGACAAAAGUUAUUGCAUGAUAACUGUUAAAAAGGGGCAACUGUUCCACUACCAGAUGGACCUGCGUUGUAUUAGUUAGUUGGUGAGGUAACCGCGCACCAAGGCGACGAUACAUAGCCGGCCUGAGAGGGGGGUCGGCCACCCUGGGACCGGGACCCCGCCCCGGCUCCUACGGGAGGCCGCCGUAGGGGAUCUUCGGCCAUGGACGGAAGUCUUACCGGGCAACGCCGCGUGGGUGGAGGAGGUUUUCGGAUCGUAAAGCUCUUUUGUAAGGGAAGAACGAGUGUGAGAGUGGAAAGUGCACGCUGUGACGGUACCUUACCAGAAAGGGACGGCUAACUACGUG
rnacentral:rRNA from 1 species